rnacentral:lncRNA from 1 species
AAAAAAAAUUAACAAAAUUUAUGAAAAUUUUUAAAAAAUUAGAAAAGGAAAUUUUGAGGAAGAACUAAAGAAAAAUAAAUGAAAAAAAAUGGAAAAGUGAGGAAGAUUAAACGGGAUAGAAUUUUUCUGUAAGAAGAAUUUCGUCGAUAUACAAGGCAACAGAAAGAAGAUGAAGAUACUAUGGCCGCAGUCAAAAUAUGAAACAUCAAAAUUUACCCUAGGUUGUAUUCAUAACCAUCAAAAAUACCCCUACUCUAAAUCAAAUUUGAAGAUUUUAAAACCUUUUCUCAUACAAAUAUAUCCGAAAAUAACCCUUAACUCGUAUUCCUAAAUUUUAGGAAUUUAUUUCAUAUACAAAAAUUCUAAAAAAAAAACUCUAAAUAAAUUUAAUAAAAAUAA